rnacentral:rRNA from 1 species
UGGCGGUGCGCCUUAUGCAUGCAAGUCGAGCGAAGCUUUUCAGUAGUUUACUACAGAAAAUGACUGAGCGGCGAACGGGUGAGUAACGCGUGAGCAACCUACCUUAGUUACUGGGAUAGCCCGAGGAAACUCGGAUUAAUACCGGAUAUUCUUAUUUAAUCACAUGAUUUUUUAAGGAAAGGUCAGCCGAACUAAGAUGGGCUCGCGUUCUAUCAGCUAGUUGGUAGGGUAAUGGCCUACCAAGGCUACGACGGAUAGCUGGUCUGAGAGGACGAUCAGCCACACUGGGACUGAGACACGGCCCAGACUCCUACGGGAGGCUGCAGCAGGGAAUAUUGCGCAAUGAGCGAAAGCUUGACGCAGCGACACCGCGUGUGGGAUGACGGAUCUAGGUUUGUAAACCACUUUCAGGAGGGAAGAAAAUGACGGUACCUCCACAAGAAGCCCCGGCCAACUACGUGCCAGCAGCCGCGGUAAUACGUAGGGGGCGAGCGUUGUCCGGAUUUAUUGGGCGUAAAGAGCUCGUAGGCGGUUCAACAAGUCGGUCGUGAAAGUUCAGGGCUCAACCCUGAAAUGUCGAUCGAUACUGUUGUGACUAGGAUACGGUAGAGGUGAGUGGAAUUCCGAGUGUAGCGGUGAAAUGCGUAGAUAUUCGGAGGAACACCAAUUGCGAAGGCAGCUCACUGGGCCGCUAUCGACGCUGAGGAGCGAAAGCUAGGGGAGCAAACAGGAUUAGAUACCCUGGUAGUCCUAGCUGUAAACGAUGGAUACUAGACGUAGGAAUUGGAUUAACGAUUUCUGUGUCGUAGCUAACGCGUUAAGUAUCCCGCCUGGGGAGUACGGU